rnacentral:rRNA from 1 species
AUUGAACGCUGGCGGCAUGCCUUACACAUGCAAGUCGAACGGCAGCGCGGACUUCGGUCUGGCGGCGAGUGGCGAACGGGUGAGUAAUACAUCGGAACGUACCCUGUUGUGGGGGAUAACUAGUCGAAAGAUUAGCUGAUACCGCAUACGACCUGAGGGUGAAAGUGGGGGACCGCAAGGCCUCAUGCUAUAGGAGCGGCCGAUGUCUGAUUAGCUAGUUGGUGGGGUAAAGGCCCACCAAGGCGACGAUCAGUAGCUGGUCUGAGAGGACGAUCAGCCACACUGGGACUGAGACACGGCCCAGACUCCUACGGGAGGCAGCAGUGGGGAAUUUUGGACAAUGGGCGAAAGCCUGAUCCAGCAAUGCCG